rnacentral:rRNA from 1 species
UUUAUUGGAGAGUUUGAUCCUGGCUCAGGAUGAACGCUGGCGGCGUGCCUAAUACAUGCAAGUCGAGCGAAUGGAUUGAGAGCUUGCUCUCAAGAAGUUAGCGGCGGACGGGUGAGUAACACGUGGGUAACCUGCCCAUAAGACUGGGAUAACUCCGGGAAACCGGGGCUAAUACCGGAUAACAUUUUGAACCGCAUGGUUCGAAAUUGAAAGGCGGCUUCGGCUGUCACUUAUGGAUGGACCCGCGUCGCAUUAGCUAGUUGGUGAGGUA